GAUGAACGCUGGCGGCGUGCCUAAUACAUGCAAGUCGAGCGAACAGACGAGGAGCUUGCUCCUCUGACGUUAGCGGCGGACGGGUGAGUAACACGUGGAUAACCUACCUAUAAGACUGGGAUAACUUCGGGAAACCGCAGCUAAUACCGGAUAAUAUAUUGAACCGCAUGGUUCAAUAGUGAAAGACGGUUUUGCUGUCACUUAUAGCUGGAUCCGCGCCGCAUUAGCUAGUUGGUAAGGUAACGGCUUACCAAGGCAACGAUGCGUAGCCGACCCGAGAGGGUGAUCGGCACACUGGAACUGAGACACGGUCCAGACUCCUACGGGAGGCAGCAGUAGGGAAUCUUCCGCAAAGGGCGAAAGCUUGACGGAGCAACGCCGCGUGAGUGAUGAAGGUCUUCGGAUCGUAAAACUCUGUUAUUAGGGAAGAACAAAUGUGUAAGUAACUAUGCACGUCUUGACGGUACCUAAUCAGAAAGCCACGGCUAACUACGUG
rnacentral:rRNA from 1 species